CGACUGAGCCUGCAGG
rnacentral:rRNA from 1 species